rnacentral:rRNA from 1 species
AACGAGACCUUAACCUGCUAAAUAGCCCUUAUUGCUUUGGCAGUACGCUGGCUUCUUAGAGGGACUAUCGGCUCAAGCCGAUGGAAGUUUGAGGCAAUAAAAGGUCUGUGAUGCCCUUAGAUGUUCUGGGCCGCACGCGCGCUACACUGACGGAGCCAGCGAGUUCUCCCUUGACCGGAAGGUCCGGGUACACUUGUGAAACUC